UACGGAGGGUGCAAGCGUUGUUCGGAAUUAUUGGGCGUAAAGAGCGUGUAGGCGGCCGGGUAAGUCAGAUGUGAAAGCCCUUGGCUCAACCAAGGAAGUGCAUUUGAAACUACCCGGCUUGAGUACGGGAGGGGGAAGCGGAAUUCCUGGUGUAGAGGUGAAAUUCGUAGAUAUCAGGAGGAACACCGGUGGCGAAGGCGGCUUCCUGGACCGAUACUGACGCUGAGACGCGAAAGCGUGGGGAGCAAACAGG
rnacentral:rRNA from 1 species